UACAGAGGUCCCAAGCGUUACUGAGAAUCACUGGGUUUAAAGGGUGCGUAGGUGGUCCGUUAAGUCAGUUGUGAAAUCCCCGGGCUCAACCCGGGAAAUGCUUCUGAUACUGGCGGACUUGAGGCCAGUAGGGGUCACUAGGACUGACGGUGGAGCGGUGAAAUGCGUAGAUAUCGUCAGGAAUGCCGGUGGUGAAGACGGGUGACUGGGCUGGUUCUGACACUGAGGCACGAAAGCGUGGGGAGCGAACGGG
rnacentral:rRNA from 1 species